GACGGAGCCUCCCCGUUUCCCGGUCUCAAGCUCAGAACCCCAGCGCCCCCGGAGUCCCUGCGUCCCGAGUCCGGGCGCCCCCAGAAUCUCCGGGCCCCGAACCCCGGUGCCCCCAGAAUUCCCAGGUCCUAGACCCCGGCGCCCCGAGUCCCACGGUCCCGAGCCCCGGCGCCCUCAGGUUUCUCGGAUCUCUCCGAGCCCCGGAGCCCCCGAAUCCUCGAGCCACCCGAACCCGCUUACCCGUAUGAUCUGAAGGCUACAGGAAAAAGAAUGUGAGUUUUCCUAACAGGACAUGCUGCUCUGUAAGACUCUGUAGCCCAUGUUAUCCUGGAAACUACCAAAGCAGAGUUUCUUAGACCUGUCAGCCUCUUUCUGCCAUCAGUUUGUCAAUUUCUCUGUGUUUUACACCGACAUCUUCCUGGGAAGAGCUUGGCUUAUUCUUAGUACCAAUGCGGCAUUGGAAAGCAAGGAGUUGGAGAAUGGUGGGGCGCCCCCCACAGUCCGUGACCUGCUGAAGGCGGCAGGAGGGGACAGAGACCCUGAGCCGGAGUGAGGGGAAGGCUCCACCUGUCAGAAGCCGAGGACAAGUGUGUUUCCUGACAGAGUGACUCAUUCACGGCGGGCCUGAGCAGCGCACUCAACGAGAAAGCUGUCUUUCGGGCUCUCGUGAGGGAAGUUGAGCUUUGCUCUACUUUCAUGUAGAUAUCCGCGAGGACUGGACGUUCUCAUUAGCAUGUAGUUUACACAGGGCAGACUUCGUUUGUAGGUAAGAACUUUCAUUUUUUUAGCCAUGGGACGCCUGUCAGACCUUUUCACAGAGCGAAUCGUGAAUUUGGAAAAUUGCUGUCAUUCUUAUUCAAAUGAAGCUCAAAUGCUUCCCUCCAUAGAAGCUUCUAGUGAAAAAAAAGGGCAAAAGUCUAAUCUCUAAGUAGGAAUUCCCUGUUUCUUGCUGGUGAAUUAAUUGCUUCCUACCUUGUAAUACUUACAGAAUUCUGAUGACAGGCUGAGGAGGAGGAGAAAAAAAAAUCUCUUAAAAAGGAGGACUUUUUAGGCACAAAAAGGAAACUAUAUUAGUCAGGGUUCUCCAGAUAAACAGAAGUGAUAGGUGAUCCAGAAGUGGCAUGAAAUUGGCCACCACAGAAACCAUGCCUGCUAAGUGGGACGAGGUGCAGUUUGGCCUUAAAAAGGAGCCAGUGCAGGUAAUAAGUGACUGCUGCUUGCCGAGGCUGGGCAAGGAGCCCCGAGAGGCUGCACAGGAGGGACACUGGGGGUGCACCAAGUGGGUCCUUCUGGAACCUUGUAGGAACUCUGCUCCUCUCAAUUUAUGGGUGUCUUGCCAAUGGGUUUCA